UGCCUUAUGUAAUUGGGCAUAAGGGUUGGAGAUUGUUGUCAACUGUUUCUCGAUGAUUUCAAUCAAUCCAAUA
rfam:Desulfitobacterium hafniense Y51 DNA, complete genome.